AAAAAUUUAGUUAAUUUAUAACAUCAGCUUGUCAAACUGAAAUUAUUAAAUAUAAUUUUUU
rnacentral:tRNA from 1 species